rnacentral:rRNA from 1 species
AUUGAACGCUGGCGGCAGGCCUAACACAUGCAAGUCGAGCGAGCGGCGGACGGGUGAGUAAUGUAUGGGGACUGCCCGAUAGAGGGGGAUAACUACUGGAAACGGUGGCUAAUACCGCAUACUAUCGGAUAACCCAUAUGGGAUUAGCUGGGAGGUGGGGUAAAGGAGCACCGGGGCGACGAUCACUAGCUGGUCUCAGAGGAUGAUCAGCCACACUGGGACUGAGACACGGCCCAGACUCCUACGGAGGCAGCAGUGGGGAAGAUUGCACAAUGGGCGCAAGCCUGAUGCAGCCAUGCCGAGGGUAUGAAGAAGGCCUUAGGGUUGUAAAGGACUUUCAGCGGGGAGGCGUUACCCGCAGAAGAAGCACCGGCUAACUCCGUGCCAGCAGCCGCGGUAAUUC